GUACCAACCCCACAUUAGGUACUGCGCACGUGGGCUAAUGAAACAUUUUAAAAACCACUUGUUGUCACCUCUUCAUAGCUCAGCUUUCUCUCAAUGACUGGUUUUGUUUCUCAGCUGUUGUCCUGCUUUCCCUUUACAUGGCUGACUUCACUUUGGAGUUAUCUUGGAUGUCGUCUUCUCCAGAAAGCUUUUCUAGAUCCUUCACCCCCAAAUCGGAGUGUGAUACCAGACCCAUGCACUUCCAUGACAACAGUCCAUCUCAUUUUCCUAACCCCAGGCCAGUGUGCCGAAGUGCACACUGCCUGUCUCCGCUCGGGCACUCUGCAGUGACCUGUACCAGCAUGGACCACCAUGAACUUGGACGAAACCAGCAUCUACUCAGCUACUCAAGGCAGAAAUACAUUAAUCUUCACUUUUAUCAUCCUCAUCUCUCACAAGAUCAUCCAGGCAACUUCACAUCCAGUUCCCUUGUCCAAGCCACAAUCUCUUCUGUUUAAAAUGCUGCAGUUGUUGUCACUUAAGCGCUGCAUGUAUCAUUCCUAACUUCGCUCCACAAGUCUUUCUCCUUUCUGAAGUCAAAAUGAUUGUUGUGAAGUCCAAACCUGAGUGUUGU
rnacentral:lncRNA from 1 species